AAAAUAGAUAAAUUUUUAUAAUUUUGAAUAAUUCAAUAGAAAUUUGUAUUGAUUUUGAUGAUUAAAAAAGGGUUUUUAAUUGUUUUUGUUGAGCCUUUGCCCCAUAAUCCAUGCAAAGAUGUUUGAAAUUUUGGGAGAAUGACAAAUAGAUCUGACCAAUUUUAUUUAGGAUAAGUCUCAAUACAAUUCAAAAUACUAGUAAAGUCCUAUCGGUGAUCGGUCCCUUAGGUCAUUAUUUGCUUAAAAUAAAAUGACUUGAACACACCUUAGAUGGUGAAAUCGUGAGCGUUCAUUUUCAAGCGCGAGGGAUGUUCCAAACCUUGGGGAGGAGAGGAAGCCAAAUCCAUUCCAUGAUUCUAUCAAAUCAUUGUCAGGAGCAAGCGUUGCAUGGCGUUGGAUUCAUGUUCCGAAUCAAAUGAUUUGUAUGCACAUUAUUCAAGAGAUUAUCAAGGAAAAUGCCAAGUUCACUACUGCUAUGGAUUAUUGAGCCAUCAUUGUCUCUUGCUGCUUUCAGAUUCAGUUUGAAGGCUAAGUCUUUCUAAAUUCUUAUUUAUUCUUUCUUUUUAAAUUAAAUCACUGAAGUCUCUUAUUGGUUCUUUUUCAUUUUAUUUUCCUUGUACAAUUAAUGGGGAGCGUAGAUGGCAAUGUUUCUACGAUGCCAGCAACAUCAACAUAGGUAUGAAUCUUAUUUUGCAUGCUACCUUAUUGCUCUCCACUGAGUAUUAUAGAUAUACAAUUCUGCAAUACAAUACCAUGCUGCGAAAAUUGUUACUGCAAAAAUUAGUUGUAACACAUCCUAUUUGGAUACAAUUCCAUGUCUUGUUAAUAUUAUGUUUGAUUACCUUAACUUCAUAGUCUUCAUGCUUAGUUGAACAUGGAAUGGCACCAAGUUUACGAAAACAUUUUAUGGUUGCCAACCAUAGGCAACGUUGCCCUUGGAAAAUACUUUUUAAAGAUAGUUUUCAAAACCUUACUUGUUCCCAAUUUCUGAGUUAUGUGUUUGUCCAUGAUACCAGUGAUUGGUAUCUCUAGUUGUUUUUCGUUUUGUGUAAUGCCCUUUCCCUUCCCAUUUUCGUCUUGUGACUGUCAUGAAAGGAAGUUUAAGAGAUAAGGUUGCAUAUUGAAGAAUGUAAAGUCUAUGAGAUUAUGUCAGACUUGAACUGUUCUGGUGGGAGACAUAACAUUAAUAAUGAAGACUUCAGACUUAAUACUGCUAGAGGGGGUCUAAUGGAUUACAAGUCUGUGGCCCACCCCACCAUCUUGAGUCAGGUUUAAAAAGGAGACCAGCCUCAUUGCUCGAGCUUGGGGGAAGGAGGACCAAACUGGAGCUGAAAUGGAGACUCCAUAACUCAUGAUUUGUAUUGAUAUUUGAAGCUGUAUUAAUAUGUAUAACAUAUUGUAAUGUUGUUUUUAAGCCGAUAAUGUAAUGUGAUUCUAUUGUAAUGAAAGCUUCGUUGUUUGAAUAAAGCUUUCUCUAUUCUGUUUGCAAAAAAAUAAAAAAAAAUGAAGCUUUCUCUCUAAAUGAACAUGUAUGUGUGUAUGUUAUAUUCA